GAAUAUUUAUCCCAAAACAGGCGGCGCUUAGAAAUGGGCGGAGCUCCCCAAACGGGGCGGGGCUUCAGCAGAAAUUCCCACCGAUUAAAAACAUGGAAUGAUUUGAACCUGGAGUAACAUCCGAGCGGUUCUGGUCCAGCUCGGCUCACAGAGCUCAAGACCAGCUUCACUGAUCCCAGUGGAAUGUUCCAGUAAUUAAAUAAACCCUGACCCUUGACCCCAUCAGGUCACUCAGAGUCCAAACUGAACGGUUACACCUCCACCAGAACCAAACGGGUU